GAUGAACGCUGGCGGCGUGCCUAAUACAUGCAAGUCGAGCGAACAGAUAAGGAGCUUGCUCCUUUGACGUUAGCGGCGGACGGGUGAGUUACACGUGGAUAACCUACCUAUAAGACUGGGAUAACUUCGGGAAACCGGAGCUAAUACCGGAUAACAUAUUGAACCGCAUGGUUCAAUAGUGAAAGGCGGCUUUGCUGUCACUUAUAGAUGGAUCCGCGCCGUAUUAGCUAGUUGGUAAGGUAACGGCUUACCAAGGCAACGAUACGUAGCCGACCUGAGAGGGGGAUCGGCCACACUGGAACUGAGACACGGUCCAGACUCCUACGGGAGGCAGCAGUAGGGAAUCUUCCGCAAUGGGCGAAAGCCUGACGGAGCAACGCCGCGUGAGUGAUGAAGGUCUUCGGAUCGUAAAACUCUGUUAUCAGGGAAGAACAAAUGUGUAAGUAACUGUACACAUCUUGACGGUACCUGAUCAGAAAGCCACGGCUAACUACGUG
rnacentral:rRNA from 1 species